rnacentral:rRNA from 1 species
GAUGAACGCUGGCGGCGUGCCUAAUACAUGCAAGUCGAGCGAACAGACGAGGAGCUUGCUCCUCUGACGUUAGCGGCGGACGGGUGAGUAACACGUGGAUACCCUACCUAUAAGACUGGGAUAACUUCGGGAAACCGGAGCUAAUCCCGGAUAAUAUAUUGAACCGCAUGGUUCAAUAGUGAAGGACGGUUUUGCUGUCACUUAUAGCUGGAUCCGCGCCGCAUUAGCUAGUUGGUAAGGUAACGGCUUACCAAGGCAACGAUGCGUAGCCGACCUGAGAGGGUGAUCGGCCACACUGGAACUGAGACACGGUCCAGACUCCUACGGGAGGCAGCAGUAGGGAAUCUGCCGCAAUGGGCGAAAGCCUGACGGAGCAACGCCGCGUGAGUGAUGAAGGUCUUCGGAUCGUAAAACUCUGUUAUUAGGGAAGAACAAAUGUGUAAGUAACUAUGCACGUCUUGACGGUACCUAAUCAGAAAGCCACGGCUAACUACGUG